UACGUAGGGUGCGAGCGUUAAUCGGAAUUUCUGGGCGUAAAGCGUGCGCAGGCGGUUCUUUAUGUCCGAUGUGAAAGCCCCGAGCUUAACUUGGGAAUGGCAUUGGAAACUGGCGGGCUGGAGUGCGGCAGAGGGGGGUGGAAUUCCACGUGUAGCAGUGAAAUGCGUAGAGAUGUGGAGGAACACCGAUGGCGAAGGCAGCCCCCUGGGCCGACACUGACGCUCAGGCACGAAAGCGUGGGGAGCAAACAGG
rnacentral:rRNA from 1 species